CCUGGUUUCCUGGGGCGAAGCCUGUGCAGAGCCUGUCUACGGAGAGCCUGUUCACUCCCUAUUUAGCCCCAUUGUACCGAAUUUGGUUGCAGUUCCUGGGGGGGACCGCAGGCGAGUGCAAAAUGAAUGGGAGUCUAUGAAGCCAGACA